rnacentral:RNase_P_RNA from 1 species
AGUGCAACAGAAACAUACCGCCGAAGGGUUAAGACCCUGGUAAGGUUGAAAUGGUGAGGUAAGAGCUCACCGGCAAUAUGGUAACAUAUUGGCCGUGUAAACCCCACUCGGAGCAAGACCAAAUAGGGCGCAAAAGGUGGCUGCCCGUCACUGCCCAAUAGGUAGGUCGCAUGAGCUUGCUGGCGACAGCAAGCCUAGAUAGAUGAUUGUCAAAUACAGAACCCGGCUUACAGGCCUGCUCAAUCC